rnacentral:rRNA from 1 species
UACGGAGGGGGCUAGCGUUGUUCGGAAUUACUGGGCGUAAAGCGCGCGUAGGCGGCUUUGUAAGUUAGAGGUGAAAGCCCGGAGCUCAACUCCGGAACUGCCUUUAAGACUGCAUCGCUAGAAUCAUGGAGAGGUUAGUGGAAUUCCGAGUGUAGAGGUGAAAUUCGUAGAUAUUCGGAAGAACACCAGUGGCGAAGGCGACUAACUGGACAUGUAUUGACGCUGAGGUGCGAAAGCGUGGGGAGCAAACAGG